rnacentral:rRNA from 1 species
UACGGGGGGGGCAAGCGUUGUUCGGAAUUACUGGGCGGAAAGGAUUUGUAGGUGGCUCGCUAAGUCAGACGUGAAAUCCCUCAGCUUAACUGGGGAACUGCGUCUGAGACUGGCAAGCUUGAGUGCAGGAGAGGAACGCGGAAUUCCAGGUGUAGCGGUGAAAUGCGUAGAUAUCUGGAGGAACACCGGUGGCGAAGGCGGCGUUCUGGACUGUAACUGACACUGAGGAACGAAAGCCAGGGGAGCAAACGGG